rnacentral:rRNA from 1 species
AACGAACGCUGGCGGCGUGUUUAAGACAUGCAAGUCGCACGGGAUAAGACAUGUAGUAAUACUUGUUUUAUUUAGUGGCGCACGGGUGGGUAACACGUGAAUUAUAUGCCCUAUAGUGGGGAAUAGCCCAGGGAAACUUGGAUUAAUACCCCAUGGUAUCGAAAGAUUAAAGGUGGCCGCAAGGCUGUCGCUAUAGGAUUGGUUCGCGCCCUAUCAGCUUGUUGGUGAGGUAACGGCUCACCAAGGCAAUGACGGGUACCUGGUCUGAGAGGACGAUCAGGCACACUGGAACUGAGACACGGUCCAGACACCUACGGGUGGCAGCAGUCGAGAAUAAUUCACAAUGGGGGCAACCCUGAUGGUGCAACGCCGCGUGGAGGAUGACGGUCUUCGGAUUGUAAACUCCUGUCAUCUGGGAGAAAGACCUGAUGGUAAAUAGCCGGCAGGGUUGAUAGUACCAGAAGAGGAAGGGACGGCUAACUUCGUGCCAGCAGCCGCCGUAA